rnacentral:rRNA from 1 species
UAAAUACUCCCUAGUGACCGAUAGUGAACCAGUACCGUGAGGGAAAGGUGAAAAGCACCCCGGAAGGGGAGUGAAACAGUUCCUGAAACCGUGUGCCUACAAGUAGUUAGAGCCCGUUAAUGGGUGAUAGCGUGCCUUUUGUAGAAUGAACCGGCGAGUUACGAUUUGUUGCAAGGUUAAGCGGAAAAAGCGGAGCCGUAGCGAAAGCGAGUCUGAAUAGGGCGCAUAAGUAACAGGUCGUAGACCCGAAACCAGGUGAUCUACCCAUGUCCAGGAUGAAGGUAAGGUAAUACUUACUGGAGGUCCGAACCCACGCACGUUGAAAAGUGCGGGGAUGAGGUGUGGGUAGCGGAGAAAUUCCAAUCGAACUUGGAGAUAGCUGGUUCUCUCCGAAAUAGCUUUAGGGCUAGCCUCGAGGUAAAGAGUCAUGGAGGUAGAGCACUGUUUGGACUAGGGGCCCUUCUCGGGUUACCGAAUUCAGAUAAACUCCGAAUGCCAUGUACUUAUACUCGGGAGUCAGACUGCGAGUGAUAAGAUCCGUAGUCGAAAGGGAAACAGCCCAGACCACCAGUUAAGGUCCCCAAAUAUAUGUUAAGUGGAAAAGGAUGUGGGGUUGCUUAGACAACCAGGAUGUUGGCUUAGAAGCAGCCACCAUUGAAAGAGUGCGUAAUAGCUCACUGGUCGAGUGACCCCGCGCCGAAAAUGUACCGGGGCUAAACAUAUUACCGAAACUGUGGAUGAACCUCUUCGGAGGUUCGUGGUAGGAGAGCGUUCUAAGGGCGGUGAAGUCAGACCGGAAGGACUGGUGGAGCGCUUAGAAGUGAGAAUGCCGGUAUGAGUAGCGAAAGAAGGGUGAGAAUCCCUUCCACCGAAUAUCUAAGGUUUCCUGAGGAAGGCUCGUCCGCUCAGGGUUAGUCGGGACCUAAGCCGAGGCCGAUAGGCGUAGGCGAUGGACAACAGGUAGAGAUUCCUGUACCAGUGCUAAUUGUUUAACCGAUGGGGUGACACAGAAGGAUAGGGAAUCGCACGAAUGGAAAUGUGCGUCCAAGCAGUGAGUGUGAGAAGUAGGCAAAUCCGCUUCUCGCGAAGCAUGAGCUGUGAUGGGGAAGGAAAUUAAGUACGGAAGUUCCUGAUUUCACGCUGUCAAGAAAAGCCUCUAGGAAGAGUAGUACUGCCCGUACCGCAAACCGACACAGGUAGAUGAGGAGAGAAUCCUAAGGUGAGCGAGAGAACUCUCGUUAAGGAACUCGGCAAAAUGACCCCGUAACUUCGGGAGAAGGGGUGCUCUAUUAGGGUGCAAGCCCGAGAGAGCCGCAGUGAAUAGGCCCAGGCGACUGUUUAGCAAAAACACAGGUCUCUGCAAAACCGUAAGGUGACGUAUAGGGGCUGACGCCUGCCCGGUGCUGGAAGGUUAAGAGGAGUGCUUAGCUUCGGCGAAGGUACGAAUUGAAGCCCCAGUAAACGGCGGCCGUAACUAUAACGGUCCUAAGGUAGCGAAAUUCCUUGUCGGGUAAGUUCCGACCCGCACGAAAGGCGCAACGAUCUGGGCACUGUCUCAACGAGAGACUCGGUGAAAUUAUAGUACCUGUGAAGAUGCAGGUUACCCGCGACAGGACGGAAAGACCCCGUGGAGCUUUACUGCAACCUGAUAUGGAAUGUUUGUACCGCUUGUACAGGAUAGGUAGGAGCCGAAGAGACGUGUGCGCUAGCAUACGAGGAGGCAAUGGUGGGAUACUACCCUGGCUGUAUGACCAUUCUAACCCGCCACGCUUAGCGCGUGGGGAGACAGUGUCAGGUGGGCAGUUUGACUGGGGCGGUCGCCUCCUAAAGAGUAACGGAGGCGCCCAAAGGUUCCCUCAGAAUGGAUGGAAAUCAUUCGCAGAGUGUAAAGGCACAAGGGAGCUUGACUGCGAGACUGACAAGUCGAGCAGGGACGAAAGUCGGGCUUAGUGAUCCGGUGGUUCCGCAUGGAAGGGCCAUCGCUCAACGGAUAAAAGCUACCCCGGGGAUAACAGGCUUAUCUCCCCCAAGAGUCCACAUCGACGGGGAGGUUUGGCACCUCGAUGUCGGCUCGUCGCAUCCUGGGGCUGUAGUCGGUCCCAAGGGUUGGGCUGUUCGCCCAUUAAAGCGGCACGCGAGCUGGGUUCAGAACGUCGUGAGACAGUUCGGUCCCUAUCCGUCGCGGGCGCAGGAAAUUUGAGAGGAGCUGUCCUUAGUACGAGAGGACCGGGAUGGACACACCGCUGGUGUACCAGUUGUUCCGCCAGGAGCAUCGCUGGGUAGCUAUGUGUGGCAGGGAUAAACGCUGAAAGCAUCUAAGCGUGAAGCCCCCCUCAAGAUGAGAUUUCCCAUUUCUUCGGAAAGUAAGAUCCCUGAAAGAUGAUCAGGUAGAUAGGUUUGGAGUGGAAGUGUAGCGAUACAUGGAGCGGACAAAUACUAAUCGAUCGAGGACUUAACCAAAA